GUCGCAUUCACCCCCGUGGGUCUGCGGGCGCCCCAGACCCCAGAGGACCCGGCCCCCAACGCUUACCUGUCCCCUCUCCUGUCCCUCCCCCAUUCCAGCCCCUUCUCUCCCCAGCCGUUGCCCCUCCCCGCACCCCGCCGCGUCCGCGCGCCUCUCUCCGCGCGCACCGCCAACCCGCCCCCUUUUCUCUGGGAACCGCUCCUUCCGCUCCGCCCGCCUGGAGUCCUUCUGGCCGGAUUCCGCGGCAUCCUUCCAUAGACCCUCGUUGUUGCUUCCUCCUUGUGGUUCCGUUGCAAACAUUUUUAAAGGGCUGGUUAUUCUUCGUGAAAUGAGUUUGGUGAUUAGAAAUCUGCAGCGAGUCAUCCCCAUCAGGAGAGCGCCACUUCGCAGUAAGAUCGAGAUUGUAAGGAGGAUUUUAGGAGUGCAGAAAUUUGACCUGGGGAUCAUCUGUGUUGACAACAAGAAUAUUCAGCACAUUAAUAGAAUCUACAGAGAUAGAAAUGUCCCAACCGAUGUGCUUUCUUUUCCAUUUCAUGAGCAUCUGAAAGCAGGUGAAUUUCCCCAGCCUGAUUUUCCAGAUGACUACAAUUUGGGAGACAUUUUCCUAGGAGUGGAGUAUAUCUUCCAUCAGUGUAAAGAAAAUGAAGAUUACAAUGACAUCCUGACUGUAAGCGGGGAUGCUGAAAUCAUAUAACCUGGCUCAUGGAACAUGGGCCUUGCAAAGGGGUCAAGAUCACAACCCUGCAUCCAUGUGUGUCCGUGGGUACCGUAAGGGCUACUGGGGGAAGAACCUGUAAGCAGGGUGUGAGGAGCACCCUGGCUGGGUAGGGACUGCAUGCCCCAUGCCACAGUUGAAGGAGGGAGAGAACACGCUGUGAAAACACAGAAGCUCCCAGAGAAGCCUUCUCAGCUUUUAUCUCUGGAGUAGAGCAGACUAUGUUGAGCUAACACAGACCUGCUGGAUCAGCUUCUUUCUGAGCUGCCAGAAGUACAGAGGUUGGAGCCUCCACCACCUUCCAGAUCUGUUUCUCCUCAGUGUAAUCCACCUAUGGGUUCUUCCUGCCCACUGCACAGACAAAACCAAUUCACUGCAAUUGCGGUAUUGCAGUAAAGAGUUUAACACAGAGCUAGCCAAGCAGAAAGGCUGGAGUUAUUAUUCAACUCAAUCUCCCAGAGAACUCAGAGGCUAGGGUUUCUACGGGCAAUUUGGCAGGCAGGGGCUAGGGAAUGCCUGCUGCUGAUCGGCUGCAGAUGGACCAUGGGGUGUCAAUGAUUUUUGUACCCUGAGUCCGCCUCUGGGUGGAGCCACGGGAUCAGCUGAGUCAUGAGUCUCAGGUCCAGGUGGAGUCUGUAGGUUGCCAGAACUCAAAAGUCUGAAAAACAUCCCAAAAGACCAUU
rnacentral:sRNA from 1 species